rnacentral:rRNA from 1 species
UAACCCGCACCACUGAUCGUGGUGGGAGACAGUGUCAGAUGGGCAGUUUGACUGGGGCGGUCGCCUCCUAAAAGGUAACGGAGGCGCCCAAAGGUUCCCUCAGAAUGGUUGGAAAUCAUUCGAAGAGGGUAAAGGCAGAAGGGAGCUUGACUGCGAGACCAACAAGUCGAGCAGGGACGAAAGUCGGGCUUAGUGAUCCGGUG